GUUAGUUUUGAUAAGGUCUGUGCAUCUCUCAUUUCAUGACGUAACUUUUCAUAUUUUAGUUCCUGGGUGCCUUCAAUGUGCAGGGACUGUCCAAGCAGACAUUCUAUCGACAUCAGGCAAAGCUGUUAAUUCCAACAGUGAGCUGGCAGUGGCAGCUACAGCAAGCUGAUAUCAUCCAGGAGGCUACUGAAUCUGGACCUGUGACUCUUGGUGGUGACAUGCGAGCUGAUUGACCUGGUGAAUACGUUUAAAUUUAUUUAUUUUAUUCCUUUGCUAUCAAAUGUAAAUUAAGUAAUAACUUGCAUUUCUGAAGGACACUCAGCCAAAUAUGGCAGCUACACCAUGAUGGAUCUCAAAAGAAACAAAGUUAUUGAUAUCCAACUCGUACAGAGCAAUGAAGUUGGAAAUAGUGUGCGAAUGGAGAAGGAGGGAUUUGUGCGAAGUCUGAGCACACUUUUGGAGAGGGGGGUCGAUGUGCAGCAAGUUGUGACUGACCGCCACACAGGGGUGCAGAAGUAUUUGCGGGAGGAAAAAAAGGAAAUCAGUCACUACCUUGACCCCUGGCACAUGGGAAAAGGUAAUCUUUGGGGAUGUAUAUAGUGAAUAUUAAAAGGUUAUUUUUUUUCUAUUGUAAAUGUGGGUCUAUUUGGCUCUCCAUGAAUUGGUAAGAAAAUCGAAGAGCUGGGGAAGAGAAAGACGACCCAGGAUGUGAGACUGUGGAAGCAAAGUGUGGUGAACCACCUCUACUGGUCAGCAUCCCUCUUUAUUCCAGAUUGGUUCAGCAUUUACAUGCUAAUGUGGCGAUAUGUCACAGAGUGGUAAUGUUGUUCUUAUGUUUAAAGGAGCAUGGGGCGGGAUGAAGAAACUAAACUCAUUAGCGACGCACUCGGCGCUGUGAGUAACUGCAGCCCGGCACGAGAGCGCGCACAAACUCUUCACUAGAAAAAAAAAAGUUACAGUGAUGUACGGCCAGAGCGCGGCUCGAACAAGGCACCGUGUCGAGCGAUGAAGUAAGUAACAUUGUUACUUUAGUCUAAUAUUUGUAAAAUUCCAUGACAACAUUAGCAUUUUAAUUUAGCCAUGACACUCGUGAUGUAAAGCAAGUGCUCCUUCCUAUGAAAUAUUCAUAAGCCAGUUUUGUGACUGGCGAGCAAGACAGUAACAUGAUGCUACUUUAUUAGCAUAAGGCUUUGUGGCUGCAGGUGAUUUCUGAUGUUUUUAGACCAGUUAGUUAUUAUUUUGCACUAAGCUUGCUAACAAGCUAAUGUUAUUGUUUAUUCAUCAUGUAAGAACAUCCAAUUUCACGUCACUGACAUCAUUUGUGAAACUAUUACAGGACAGGCAUCACAACAAUGUAAAUAAGAACAUAAAUAUCAAUGUUUAGUUCAAAAAUGCAUCAAAAUAAAAUCAUAAUAUCAACAAGACCUACAGGGUAAUACAGUCAUUUUUAUCAUUACUGUCAUUGAUUUUCAGGAAUUCACAUUGGAAGCAGUGAUGGAAGACAGUUCAGAUGGAGUGUGCCCGAGCCUGCCACAGACUUUGAUGUGUCGUGGGAAAGUCUGAGACCAGGGGCUAAAGGAAAGGGGAGAGGAAAAGGUCGCUCCGAGGGUCGGGGAAGGACACGCUCAAGGGGUGAGGGCAGCAGGUCGAGGUCCAGAGCUCCUUCGAGAAGACCAGGGCGCCGGGGUAGGCAGCGAACAGCUUUCAGAGAAGAGGACCGAGACUGGCUUGCACAGCUGAGAGCUGCCAGUAUAGCUGAGAUGCAGACAGCUUUACAACACCUGAGCCAGGAGGAGAGAGAUUAUAUUCUCGAGAGAGUGGUGACCCGUCUUCCAGGGGUGAUGCUGGAUAUCCUGGAGUUUCAGCAAGAGACGCCAGGACACCGUCUUCCUGACUGAGG